AUGUCUGACUGGAAUGACAACACUCAACAACCAAAAUUAUUAUUCUGACAAGAAUAAUAUACCUCAUUCACCUCCACAUAAGCACGUUCACUGAACAUCAACGCUGGAAUACAGAUUGACUAGUGUGAUAUAUAGGAGAGAGCAGAAUAAGAAAAGGAAGGCAUUAUAAGCUGAUAAUACCAAUAUCUUCAGUUCCUUAUAACCACACUACGGUGUAUGAACUGUAACCCUGCAAUGUGGAGGAGCAGGAAGAAGAGCAGGGAGAAGAGGUUAUAGGAGGCAGAGACGGUGGAGUACGAUCACCUUUCCCUCGGCUCGUUGCCAACACGGAUCAUACACACGCACGCACACACACCCCCUUCUCGCCUCGCCUCAGUCUGGUUCGAGUGUGGGGAGUGUGCGGAAAACCUAUCCAACUUCCCUCUCUGGUGAACGGUGCAUCACGGACACUCCCGCUUUGUGUGCAACCCUGUGUCUCAGUGCUUGAGUGAGUGUGUAUCCCAGUGGAGCAGCCGCGCGGGACCUGUCCAAGGGCAGGUGGUACAUAUACGACUUCUGCUGGCAAACAGGAAAGAAGAAGAAAAGAAAAAAAGAUAAAAGAAAAGAGAAAAAAAGACCUACAAUAUACAAGAUCAAAGAGGAACUUAACUCACCACCACCACCACCACCACCACCACCACCAGCAGCACAGCCUCGCAUGCACCCUCACUCCCCAUCCACCUUCCUCCUCAUUCCACUAACGGAUGUACUGAGCGGAGGACCAGGUGGGCGCUGCUGUUAGUGCGUCUGCGGGAGGAAGUAGACGAGGAGGAGGAGGAGGGGGAAAGGGGAGGGGGGAGGGUAAGACAGAUGAGGUAAAUGCAGCGGCGAUGGAGGCAGGCGUGGUGAUGGCUGGAGGACUGAGAGGAAGCGAAAACAUGAAGCAGCAGCAGGAAGGAUAGAAAGAGAGAGCUGGGAGGCAAUGAAGAGCAGCCGUUGGUGUGUCAGUGCGUGUUUGUGUGGCAAGUGAAGUGACGAGCAGAGCAGAGCAGAGGGGCAGUAGAGGCCAAGGCAGAGCAAGGUAGUGGAGACGUGAAUGCAAAGAAGGAAGGAAGGAAG